UGAUAUCAAAUUUCAAAAUUGUAAAAUUGCCUUCGAUGGAGACAUUCUCCAUGUUACAACGGGUCUAUAUGGCAUCUACUUCUUUUAAGGGGUAUAAGUACUAUUAAGUUCACAAGGUUACACUUGUUAAAUAUUUUUACAUCAAAUAUUAACCUCUUCUUGCACCUAAAAUCAUACAAGUUAAUUGGUGUUUUUAUAGUCAUAACUGUAUUAAGUACAACACAUAUGCACUUCAAGAGGAAAUCUUGAAAAACCAAUUUGUGGUGACAUCUUUGGGGAUAAUUUAGGAACAUGAUUAGGAGCUUUCUCAACUAAGGUUGACAUUUGUACCUCCUUACAACCUAAAUUGCACGUAAUCAUGCUUGCUAUGGAAUGUGUUAACCUGAAAAAUUAGGAAGCACACAUUCUCAUUCUUAGAAUUCUACAUUUGUGUCACAUUAUCACAUAGUCCUAUGUGGCACAUUCCAAAACUCAUUUUUACUAUUCUAAAAGAUAAAUACAAUACUUCUA
rnacentral:lncRNA from 1 species